GCCAGUGUAGCUCAGUGAGUAAGAGGGUCAGUCCAAGCACUGAAGGGUCAUGGGUUCAAUUCCCAUCACGGGUC
rfam:Myotis davidii contig125675, whole genome shotgun sequence.